AACGAACGCUGGCGGCGUGCUUAAGACAUGCAAGUCGUGCGAGAAAGCCACCUUCGGGUGGUGAGUAAAGCGGCGCACGGGUGAGUAACGCGUGGAUAAUCUACCUGUAGGUCUGGGAUAACUCCGGGAAACUGGGGCUAAUACCGGAUAAGACCACGGGGUCCUCGGGUCCUGCGGAAAAAGGUGGCCUCUUCUUGAAAGCUACCGCCAGGGGAUGAGCCCGCGUCCCAUUAGCUUGUUGGUGAGGUAACGGCUCACCAAGGUGACGAUGGGUAGCUGGUCUGAGAGGAUGAUCAGCCACACUGGAACUGAGACACGGUCCAGACUCCUACGGGAGGCAGCAGUCGGGAAUUUUGGGCAAUGGGCGCAGGCCUGACCCAGCAACGCCGCGUGAGGGAUGAAGGCCCUCGGGUCGUAAACCUCUGUCGGGAGGGAAGAACGUUCUCCGGCCGAAUAAUCCGGGGAGCUGACGGUACCUCCAAAGGAAGCACCGGCCAACUCCGUG
rnacentral:rRNA from 1 species